AGUCGAGCGCACCUUCGGGUGAGCGGCGGACGGGUUAGUAACGCGUGGGAACGUGCCCAGAUCUGCGGAAUAGCCACUGGAAACGGUGAGUAAUACCGCAUACGCCCUUCGGGGGAAAGAUUUAUCGGAUUUGGAUCGGCCCGCGUUAGAUUAGGUAGUUGGUGGGGUAAUGGCCUACCAAGCCUACGAUCUAUAGCUGGUUUUAGAGGAUGAUCAGCAACACUGGGACUGAGACACGGCCCAGACUCCUACGGGAGGCAGCAGUGGGGAAUCUUAGACAAUGGGGGCAACCCUGAUCUAGCCAUGCCGCGUGAGUGAUGAAGGCCCUAGGUCGUAAAGCUCUUUCGCCUGUGAUGAUAAUGACAGUAGCAGGUUAAGAAACCCCGGCUAACUCCGUGCCAGCAGCCGCGGUAAUACGGAGGGGUUAGCCGUUGUUCGGAAUUACUGGGCCUAAAGCGCACGUAGGCGGAUUGAAAAGUGGGGGUGAAAUCCCGGGGCU
rnacentral:rRNA from 1 species